rnacentral:rRNA from 1 species
UACAGAGGGCCCAAGCGUUGUUCGGAUUUACUGGGCGUAAAGGGUGCGUAGGCGGCGCGGUAAGUCGGGUGUGAAAUCUCGGGGCUUAACUCCGAAACUGCAUUCGAUACUACCGUGCUUGAGGACUGGAGAGGAGACUGGAAUUUACGGUGUAGCGGUGAAAUGCGUAGAUAUCGUAAGGAAGACCAGUGGCGAAGGCGGGUCUCUGGGCAGUUCCUGACGCUGAGGCACGAAGGCCAGGGGAGCAAACGGG